rnacentral:rRNA from 1 species
GACGAACGCUGGCGGCGUGCUUAACACAUGCAAGUCGUACGGUAAGGCCCUUUCGGGGGUCCACGAGUGGCGAACGGGUGAGUAACACGUGAGUAACCUGCCCACAACUUUGGGAUAACGCUAGGAAACUGGUGCUAAUACUGGAUAUGUGCUCCUGCUGCAUGGUGGGGGUUGGAAAGCUCCGGCGGUUGUGGAUGGACUCGCGGCCUAUCAGCUUGUUGGUGGGGUAGUGGCCUACCAAGGCGGCGACGGGUAGCCGGCCUGAGAGGGUGACCGGCCACAUUGGGACUGAGAUACGGCCCAGACUCCUACGGGAGGCAGCAGUGGGGAAUAUUGCACAAUGGGCGCAAGGCUGAUGCAGCAACGCCGCGUGCGGGAUGACGGCCUUCGGGUUGUAAACCGCUUUCAGCAGGGACGAAGCUUUUUGUGACGGUACCUGCAGAAGAAGCACCGGCUAACUACGUG